rnacentral:rRNA from 1 species
AACGACUGCUAAGACUGGAUAGGAGACAAGAGGGCAUCUUCUUGUUUUUAAAAGACCCAGCAAUAGGUAUGCUUAGGGAGGGGCUUGCGUCACAUUAGUUAGUUGGUGGGGUAAAGGCCUACCAAGACUAUGAUGUGUAGCCGGGCUGAGAGGUUGAACGGCCACAUUGGGACUGAGACACGGCCCAAACUCCUACGGGAGGCAGCAGUAGGGAAUUUUCGGCAAUGGAGGAAACUCUGACCGAGCAACGCCGCGUGAACGAUGAAGUAUUUCGGUACGUAAAGUUCUUUUAUUAGGGAAGAAUAAAUGAUGGAAAAAUCAUUCUGACGGUACCUAAUGAAUAAGCCCCGGCUAACUAUGUGCCAGCAGCCGCGGUAAUACAUAGGGGGCAAGCGUUAUCCGGAAUUAUUGGGCGUAAAGGGUGCGUAGGCGGUUAAAUAAGUUUAUGGUCUAAGUGCAAAGCUCAACAUUGUGAUGCUAUAAAAACUGUUUAGCUAGAGUAAGAUAGAGGCAAGUGGAAUUCCAUGUGUAGUGGUAAAAUGCGUAAAUAUAUGGAGGAACACCAGUAGCGAAGGCGGCUUACUGGGUCUUUACUGACGCUGAGGCACGAAAGCGUGGGGAGCAAACAGGAUUAGAUACCCUGGUAGUCCACGCCGUAAACGAUGAGUACUAAACGUUGGGUAAAACCAGUGUUGAAGUUAACACAUUAAGUACUCCGCCUGAGUAGUACGUACGCAAGUAUGAAACUUAAAGGAAUUGACGGGACUCCGCACAAGCGGUGGAUCAUGUUGUUUAAUUCGAAGGUACCCGAAAAACCUCACCAGGUCUUGACAUGCUUCUGCAAAGCUGUAGAAACACAGUGGAGGUUAUCAGUUGCACAGGUGGUGCAUGGUUGUCGUCAGCUCGUGUCGUGAGAUGUUGGGUUAAGUCCCGCAACGAGCGCAACCCUUAUUGUUAGUUACCAGCACGUAAUGGUGGGGACUUUAGCAAGACUGCCAGUGAUAAAUUGGAGGAAGGUGGGGACGACGUCAAAUCAUCAUGCCCCUUAUGACCUGGGCUACAAACGUGAUACAAUGGCUGUUACAAAGGGUAGCUGAAGCGCAAGUUUUUGGCGAAUCUCAAAAAAACAGUCUCAGUUCGGAUUGAAGUCUGCAACUCGACUUCAUGAAGUUGGAAUCGCUAGUAAUCGCGAAUCAGCAUGUCGCGGUGAAUACGUUCGCGGGGUUUGUACACACCGCCU